rnacentral:rRNA from 1 species
CGGACGGGUGAGUAACGCGUGAGAAUUUACCUUUAGGAGGGGGAUAACAAUUGGAAACGAAUGCUAAUACCCCAUAUGCUUUUGAGUGAAAUGGAUUUAUACUGCCUAAAGAAAAGCUCGCGGCUGAUUAGCUUGUUGGUAAGGUAAGAGCUUACCAAGGCGACGAUCAGUAUCUGGUUUGAGAGGACGAUCAGACACACUGGAACUGAGACACGGUCCAGACUCCUACGGGAGGCAGCAGUGGGGAAUUUUCCGCAAUGGGCGAAAGCCUGACGGAGCAAUACCGCGUGAGGGAAGACUGCCUAUGGGUUGUAAACCUCUUUUUUCAGGGAGGAACAAAAUGACGUGUACCUGAAGAAUAAGCAUCGGCUAACUCCGUGCCAGCAGCCGCGGUAAGACGGAGGAUGCAAGUGUUAUCCGGAAUCACUGGGCGUAAAGCGUCUGUAGGUGGUUUAAUAAGUCAACUGUUAAAUCUUGAGGCUUAACUUCAAAACCGCAGUCGAAACUAUUAGACUAGAGUAUAGUAGAGGUAAAGGGAAUUUCCAGUGGAGCGGUGAAAUGCGUAGAUAUUGGAAAGAACACCGAUGGCGAAAGCACUUUACUGGGCUAUUACUAACACUCAGAGACGAAAGCUAGGGUAGCAAAAGGGAUUAGAUACCCCUGUAGUC